ACGUGACCACAAUAUUUACCAGAAGACCGUUAUUUGCUCGAGUACCCUCAACUUUUUUGUCGCAAAUAACAUUAUUAAUAACCUGUAAAUAAUAAAUUUUGUACACAUUACGUUCCUCUUCACUUUGUAAUAGUAUGUUUUUUGGUUUAAUAGUCGGCUUUAAGUUAGUUUUCCUGUCAGUUUGAUCGUCAAAAUCUUGAAAGUUAUCUGCAGCCACACAUCCACUGUAUACCAAGUUAUGAUGAACAAUUAUGAAAAUGCAAAAGGAUUGAUAGAUCAGUAAACAAGCAACAAAAAGCUUUACAAAAAAUGUAGAAUUUGUAGGAGCGCAUGGACAUCUGAGUAACAAAGUCAUAUUAUGCAGAUGGGUGCUCAUGGUGGCCUCCAAAUAAAUACAUGGACAGGCUGCUAAAGAGGGUCAGGAUGAUGGAGAUGCAAGAGCCAAAGACAGCACAGACCAAACACCAGGCCAGAAUUCUGCAUGAGUCAGAUUGAGUAAUUUUCACUCUAGAGACCCUUGGGUGACCACCAAGGACGAAUGCAAACUCCAGUGAGUGUCUCUAAGGUAGAUCCUAAUGCAGAUGGAUGGAAUGUUGAUCCGCCUAACAUGCAAGCUACAGAGGGCAUCCUUUAUUCAGUCCCUAAUGCAGAUGGUUGGAGUGUUGAUCUACCUAACAUGAGGGGUAAAAGAGUGUUUGUUAGCAUAAUGAGAAAGAAAACAGAAACACAUUAUUAGUGGCAUUUAAAAACAUAACACUUGUUUAUACUACAUUUUAUGUUCAAUCCAUAGAGCACUCGUUUUGAGUCCUGAGACCCUGGGGUGACCACCGUGAACAAAUACAGACUGCAAUAGCAGUCUUGACGGUACUAGGAUGAAUGCAAAUAAAGACUAACCACCUGACAUCAGCUGUCCAGUCUCUUGUGGGAAGCAGGUGCUUGUUACCCCAAAUACGGAUGAAGAGUGACGAAGAGGAUGAUGA